UGGGGUCCGCCCUCUUGUAUGAAACCAUCUGACCGAGAGUUCCCUGUAGAUUCACGAUUUUUCCCCAUUUCCGACUCUGGUCUCUCUUCCUCCUCAUCCUACCUGAGUCACCUUAACCUGAAUUCUUCGCUGAUUUUCUCACCGAAAUUGGACAAGAAAGUCUCAAAGACAUUUAUAGUAUGCAGACGGGACCAUUGACAUAUGAGGUCUUAUAUGACCAAUAUCGACACUGAUCCGCGAAGAUAAACUUAAGGGAGGCCCUGGGUAUUACUAUUGUUGAUCAUACUUGUGCACAUUCAAGUUGGGAUUUGACGGAUCCAUAGGUUCAAUAUUAUGUUCGUCAAGCAGGUUUUUUUUUAAUAUUCACAAUUAAAAUGGGUAAGAUUCGAUUGGCCUCUCUUGACAACAUUGAUUGAACGAUGGAGGCCCGAGACAAAUAUAGUCCACACGUGACAAGGAGAGUCAACUAUUACUCUGCAGGAUGUAGGGGUUAUACUUGGCCUCAAAGUGGAUGGAGAUGAUGCUAUGAGUACUGAAGAUUUCAACUGGAUAGGAGUGUGUGAAAGAUUAUCAGGCCAAUCUCCUAAUAUGAAGGGUGGUAAGAUCAAGCUCGAGUGGUUACGAAAUAAUUACAUGAAUAUAUCGGUCGAUGCAACAAAUGAGAACAUCAAGACGUAUGCCAAUGCGUAUAUACUCCAUCUGAUCGUUAUCAUUCUAUUUUUAGAUUCAACUAAGGAAAUCAGUGCAUGUUAGAUGGUUGUCACUUCUUAGGAAUCUGGAGAAGUGUGGAGAAUUAUCUUAGGGAGUGCAGUGUUAGCUUAUCUUUAUAGGGAGAUGAUAAAAGUGGCUGUAGGCUGUCAAAAAAUUACUACAGAUAGCUGUUGGCCUCUUUGUUUUGAUGA